rnacentral:lncRNA from 1 species
AACAACGCUUCACAGCCCUCUGUGUGGAAAAAGUUUUCCUACUGUCCACCCUGACCCUCCCCAGGCACAAUUUGAGGCCGUUACCAAAAAAAGAUUCCCUCGGGGAAAGGAAAGCCGUGCACCCGCCUUGGAGCACUUUGUCCCGGGCUGUGCCGUGAGGAGAAGAGCAGCAGCGCAGAGGGGAGCAUGUGGAGAUGCGUCCGGAGAAGGAGCAGCCGGCACAGCUGCCAGCCUUUCCCGUUGGGUUUCCAGGCAGGAGUAAAACAAUGGCUGCUGAGAUACGUUACAUGGAAUGGGAACCUGGACUACCUCUUGCACAAAGCUGCUGAGGAAAAGCAUACGACUUAGAGAUGCUUCCAAGUUUUCAUAUGGACUGAACAGGAUUCGGUGCAGAACCCACAGAUGUGGAUUUACCAGAGGGCUCACAGAAGGUGAUUCCAGCAGAUGCCAGCUAUGAGCCUCCUGCUAUUGUAAGGCCGUACAGCCAAGGAGUGCUGAGUCAGCUGCACGACAGAGGAGUCCAGAGAAGCAAAGUGGGAUCAGAUGUGAAAAGUUUGGGUGUAACCCAUUGUGUUGCCCUUCGCUGACAGCCUCAAGACCCUGUGCCUACCUUCAGGCUGUACA